CCUCCAGUUGGCAGCUGCCUUCGGAAACUUUCGGGGGAAAGUUUCUUUGAAGUUAAGGGAGAUUCCCAGAAAGUGGUGGGGGGCGGUUUGUCCCGGGAGCGGCACAGGCCGUGGCUCAGAAGCCCUCCGAAGUGCGGUUUUGGGAGAUGCAGUAAAGGAUUUGCGCUUUACUUGCCCCAAUCUUUAACGCGCUUUUUUUUUUUUUUUUUUUUUUUUUUUUUCCCUUUUUCUGUUCGUUUUGGUUUUUGUUUCUUCACUCCCUGCAGCACCCGUGACUGGAGUUGUGACCUAAAGGGACUUCUUUCUUUCUGUGCCCGGUAUAGUUACAUGGUAUAGCCUCGUUCCUCAUUGUGUGAAUUCUUGUAGCUACCCAGUGUGUGUGCUGGUGCAUUAAGGACUUUCAUGGGUACUAAAGCAGUGAAGCAAAGGAUUGUUACUGAAAACUCCGCUUGCCUGCAGGCGAGGUAAAGCAUUUUCUCUUGCAAAAUGAGUUUACGAGCUCUGGUUUUGUGUUUGGCAUAUUCUGGGCUUGGAAAGGCAAAUGUGGUUCCGCAAGCUGGACACACAAAAGUGAGGAUGGGUGACAGUGUGACUCUGAGCUGUGCCCUGACAAAACCCAUGGAUGUUCUGCAAGUGACGUGGCAAAAGGACUCAGAAGAAUUACAUGAUAAUAUAGCUACAUACAGUGAAACGAACGGAUUAAGGAUUCAGAAGCCCUAUGAAGACAGAAUGAAUUUCACUAGUUUGGAACUCAACAAGACAAGCAUAACCUUUUGGGACGCUAGAAUGGAUGAUUCAGGAUGUUACAAGUGUCUCUUCAAUGUUUUCCCUUCUGGUCCUCUCUCAGGAAAUACCUGCCUGAGUGUUUUUGGUCUCAAUGCAUCUGUCCAUCACAACAUUUCUGAAGAUCAUUUGAUAGUCAUCUGUAAUGCUAAUGGCCUCCCAGAGCCCACCAUCACAUGGAACAACCUGUUCAAUUCUACUCCUACACAGAAGACAGUCAAGCACAAAAAUGGGAUUGUGUCCAUCACCAGUAAACUGGAAAUCUACAAUAUUCAGAGCAUCAGUGCACAGGAUUUGAUCUGCAGAGUAAGCAACACAAAUGAAACAUUUGAAAUGCCUGUGAAAAUAAAAGGAGAAGAGGCAUCGUCAUUGCUUUGGCUGGUGAUUAUUGUGGUGCUUUUAGUAGUCAUCAUAGUUCUGAUUCUGAUUAUGCUGUUCUGGAGGAAGAUCCUAUGCAGGAGGAGUUGAAGUGGAUCCUUGAGGAUUUCCAUCCAUCUACCAGAUCACUGGAAGCUAGCAGCCUGAAGUCAACAUUACACAUAGUGACUUGACUGGCUGGAAAGAAGCUGCAAAAAAAGAAGACAUCAUACACACUGCCUUAUCUGGAAGCAGAGUUGAUCACUGAUACAACUAACGCAAUGUUUGCUAUCUGAUCUAGGCCCUUAAUCUUAAAAUGUAGGACUGGAGGGACUACUUGGUCUGCUGCUCUGCAGAGGAGGAGAUUUUGUCAGGCAAAACCUUCUUUGCCCAUGCCACUCUUGGUACUGCUGCUGGGCAAAAUGUAUUUGUCUUCUUCCAGCUGAGUUUUGAAAAUGUCCAUGGAUAGAAGCUCUGCAGACUCUCUGGGGAUUCUCUUCCAGUACCUAAUUGCUCUCGCAGUAGAGAGGGAUUUAAUUUUUGCCAACAUCUGUCUGCAAUUUCACAUGCAGCAACUCUUGAGUUCAUUGCCCUCUUCCUGUCAUCUGGUUUUUCUUCUCUUAUGCAGUUGUUCCAGCUCCUUUUUCUCUGUCUGGAAAGACCUGCUGGACUCAAAAUCACAGGACUCAAACCACACAGCAUUUGGCAAAUUUCUGGGGAAGAGCAAUAGGUCUCCAAGGAGGUGACUAAAUCAAGGCAGUAGCAGCCACAGUUUGGAAAGAAGAAUUGGCCACACAUAGUGCAGUGAGAAUAAGCCAGCUGUGCAUAUUUUGGCUCCCAGUGGAUUGCCUGCAUUUUGGAGGUGUUGCUUGGAUGCCGGCAGAUUUUUAUUGCUGGGUUUCAGGCUGGUGUGGUUGUAAUGGAAACCUUUGCUUUGAGCUGAAGAAGGGUAUGGACACAUGGGUCAAAGGAAGACUGCCAUUUAUUUUCAGCCAUGGACAAACAUGUUGUGAGUGUUGUGGUCAGUCCAGUGCAUGCCAUCAACCCUUUAGAUGAGGAUUUAUUUUAAAAAUUACAAUAAUUGUACAAUAUUAAAUAUUUAAAAUAUCAAAUGUUUUAGUAUUUAUUUUAACAAUAAAAAGCCAAAAAGUGGGAAGGAGCCCCAUUUUUUCCAGAACCUGUUACUGUAAAUAUGAUGAAAAGAUAAUUAUAAAGGAAACUAGAGCAGACUGUACACCCUAGUAUUUCACAAGUGACUUUUAUCUGAAUUACUAAGUCCACAUCAGAGAAAAAAACAUGGCAUUAAAGCAAUUCACUUCCAGAAUUGAGAAGCUCUGAUUAAAUGUCAUAAACUGUAACUUUCCUUGUUCUUUUUUCCAGUUUGGUUUUAAUUUGGCUUUGGGGGUUUUUUUGGGUUUUUGUUUGGUUUUUGUUUGUGUUUUUUUUUUCUGAUAUGUAGAUGUUUUGCCAUUUUCUUUCUUAAGUGAGAACAAUUGAAAAGCUGUGAAGAUUAAGAAGGAAAUGUUUUGUGCCAGUACUCAUGAGGUUUGUUCUGGGAAAUAAUUAAGUAUAAAUCAAUUUUUAGGAAGAUAGGGGAAAUGUUUUCAGACAUGUAGUAUAGUACCAGAUUCUGCUUUCACUUACAUAAGUGCAGCUGUGCUGAAAUCCUGGAGCAGCAUCAAUGCCGUGUGUACUGUUAUCUCAUUUUACUUAUGCCCUGGGAUGCCUCUGAACAGUGACAAUAUGUUAGAAACCAGUGGAAAAUCCCUCUUUCCAGGAAUAAUGAAUCUGACUAGGUCUACUCCAUUCCCUCAUAUGAAGCUUCUGCACAGCACUGAGCUAUUCCCAGACUUUUGGAAAACCUUUUGCAGGGUAAGCCACCUUGUUAGGUGGCACCUUGUUAGGUCUCAUGAGUGAGGCAGAGAUGCAAGAAGGAAGAGUUAGGGGGGUGUAGUAACUGUGUCACAGCAACCCUCAGUUGCCAGUCAAGGCAAAAUGAUCCUCUACCUCAGUCAGUGGUACCCUCCUCCUGAGUUUUUGACUAGAGCUAGUGCUGAACUAAGCACACUGCUCACCUUUACUCAUUGAUACAAAAUAGGGGGUGUUUUAUGCAUGUAUAUAAAACACUUAUAUGAUUCAGGAUCACAUUGUGAGGUUUGAAUCCUGCCCUGCCAUCCUGUAGGAAGUGAUUAAAAUACCAGUCCUUAGUGCUCCUGUUCACCAAAAACACUUAUCUUAUUCAUCUGAAAUGCUUGUACACCAAUGCACACAGUAUAAGAAACAAAUAGGAUGAACUUGAAGCACCGGUCUGUUCCCAAUCCUAUGAUGGCAUUGGUUUUAUUUAAAUGUGGUGAGAUGAGUCCCACAGGCUGCUCAGGAGAGACAGGCAGGGCAGGUGAGGUGGAGGAGUUGCACUGUGUGUGAGGGAGAGGUGUGGCUAUACAGUUGUUACAGUUAGAAAUUACAUGUUUGAGAGCUUCUGGGUGAGGAAUAAUGGGGUUGGAAAACAAAGUAAAUGUUGCAGUGAGUCUCUACUAUGGGUAGCCCAGGCAGAAUGAUAGGACUGAUGAGUUAUUCUGUAGGCAAGAGAAAUAUCUGGAUGCACAGCCUUUGUCCUUAUGGUAGAUUUCAACUUCCCAGACAUCAGCUUGGAAUACCAUACUCAUGUGACAAGCAAGUCUGGGAAAUUCCAGUAGUUCAUUGAAAAUAACUUACUGACACAAAUACUCAGUGAGUCACCUAGGAAAGAUGCCCUCCUGAACUUAAUUGUGAGUAAAGAAGGACUCAAGGGGCAUGUGGCAGUAGGUGACUGUCUUGGCCGCAAUGAUCACAGAAUGGUUUAAAAUUGUCACAGAAAGUGUUUAAAUUGUCAGUGUAAUGAGAAAAAAGGACAUCAGAGUUUCUACCCUGGACUUCACGUGAGCAAACUUUAAGCUAUUCAGGGAACUAUUUAGCAGAGUGCCCUGGGAAUCUGCUUUUGUGGGCUUGGGGGUCCACAAGUGCUGGUCAGUUUUCAGCAACUGCCUUUUAGAGGCACAGGAGCAGACAAAUCCCCGUGUUGUAAGUCAAAUAAGCAGGGAAGGAGACCAGUUUGGCUGAACAUGGAACUCAGGAGGAAAAAGAAAUGGCACAGUCUCUGGAAGCAAGGUCAGGCUUCACAGGAAGAUUACAGAGCUCUAGUUUGCACAUGCAGGAAGAAGACAUGUAAGGCCAAAGCUGAACUAGAGUUGAAACUGGCGAGUGUUAGGUCAGAUGACAAAAAAGGCUUUUUAAAGUAUAUUAGUAGAACAAGGAAAAAGAGAGGGGUGCUUAUCUCUUCUCCUUUAUAUCCAGUCACAGGACAGUGGUUGAAAGCUACUCCAGGGGAGACACAGACUGGACAUUAGGAAGUAUUUCUUUUUUGAGGAAGAGGUCAAACUCUGCAACAGGUUCCCUAGACAAGUGAUCGAUGCCCCAAACCUGGCAGUGUUUGAGGCAUUUGGGGAAAUGUCCUUAACACCAUGCUUUUAUUUUCAACAAGCCCUGAAUUGGUCUGGCAGUUGGACUAGAGGAUUGGUGUAGAUCCCUUCCAGCUGAACUAUACUGUUCUACUAUUUUCUGUCCAAGUAGUUGUUCUACAUCCAUAUUCCCAAAGGACGUCAGCAUCUAAUUUAGGCAGUUACAUUCAGUUCUCCUCCAACAAAAGCAAAGGAAAAAUGACAGUCUCAAUAAAUGUGGGGCUGCUAUUAUUAAACAAAUAUUCCAGGAAAGAUUGUCAAAUUGAUAGCUUACAGGAAACUCCAGAGAAAGUCUGCACUUAAGUAGGUCCCAAGGAGGAGACAAAUCCAUGAAUAUCAGUGUUUUGCCAAAAUUAGCUAUAAACGUGUACCUGUCUCUACAACUGGUAACCAUCUUGCUGUUCCUGUGCACUGUCAUAAAGUAUUUAUUUAAACAAAAUGUAAACUUAUUUCUAUUUUCAUAGCUGUCAAACCAGCAGCCUUUUGUUUCCAGGAAUAGUAUUUAGUAAAAAGAGGGACUGGUCCAUGUUUGGAGUACCUUGUGCCCUCUACACAGUCUGCUAGAGGGCUGGUGAAACCAGAAUAUUAAUUAAAGAGAGAUUUGCCAGUGCAAAUGUAAACCCUGGUAUCUUUGGCUUGCAGUGGGUUAGCAAUAGAAUGCCAGAGUCUCCAGACUGACUCCAGAUUUGUUACUGUCCCUUCCUUAUCAGCUACAGCAGAGAAGAAGAGGCAGAGGGUGUUGCUUCUCUUGCUGAAAGAUAUUAUCUUACUCUUUAGGCCAACCUGUGGAUGCGUCUGUAGCUCCUGUAAGAGCACAAGCACAACAUAUAUGGCAAAUUAACAUCUUAGCUCAAGGGAUAAAGGCUUUUGGUGAGGAUUCAAGCUUCAGCCUUCUUGAUAGCCUAUUUCACAUAGAGCCUGAGGUUGCAGGGCACAAAGUCCCCUUAUUCAGUGGUAAUUCUGAGAACUUUCAUGUGGAGUAAAUUUUUCUGCUAUGAAUUAUAUUCAUUAAUUACAGGCAUGUGAAACAGCUGCAUAUAGUCCAUUUUGUGGUUUUACAUUACUUGGAUCUAUUGUUCAGCUCAUUCAGAUAUGGGUGGCAGGCAUUGAUGGGUGUUAAACUGUAGUAUUGCAGAAUAGGUGUGUGGUGUGGUUUGCACCAGGCUUCAAAGGUGCUAAGCUGACCCUACAUGACUGUAUUCAUUCU